rnacentral:lncRNA from 1 species
GUGCCCUGGCGCGAGGCUUUCCCUGCAUGAAGGCCGUGCUUCUCACAGGCGGGGCAGAGCCUGGAGUGACCGUGCCUCUGAGGAGCAUGUCCGACCCCGACCAGGACUUCGACAAGGAGCCUGAUUCGGAUUCCACCAAACACUCAACUCCCUCAAACAGCUCCAACCCCAGCGGCCCGCCAAGCCCCAACUCGCCCCACAGGAGCCAGCUGCCCCUCGACGGUCUGGAGCAGCCCGCCUGUGACGCCUGAGGCCCCUCCCCGUGCAUUGCCAAGACUGGGCUGACAGUGCUGUCUUCGGAGCUGGAGGGUCGUCUGUAGAUACGAAUCAAGUCUGUGUCAGUCAGGACCCAGCUGGGUGCCGCAUCCCAUGGGUGGCGUAGACCAGACCACUUGUCUGCACAGCUGAGGCCACACAAAGGACCACCGCACACCUCACCCGCACUGCCUCACCUGUGCAGCGCCUCAGCGCCUGUCUCCCCUGUUGCCUGAAGCCAUUCCCAAGCCCCUAGGAGAAUAAUAGCAAGUUGUGUGUCACCCCGCAUCGUGAGAUUUGUGGACAGAAGAGCACAGGUCGGCUGUGGCCUUCCAGUUCACUUUCCCGUUGCACAGCCACCUGCAGGUGACACCUGCCUGUGGACAGAACCCAGGCCCAGCAGACCACGUCCCGCGUGGAAGUCCACUCUGAACACAGCCAGGACACGUCACCAGCACCUGCUGCUGCGAGCCACUCCACCUGCUGGAGAGGUGGCCAUGGUCCAGGGAGCGCACAGUGGGUGUGGGCCUCCCCCCCACACACACAUGGAGCCCCAUGAGUAACAACCAUUCUGACUGGGUGGGAAACACCUGACACUCAUGCAUAGUGGCCACAACUCGUGUGUCGUGUCUGGUCAGGUCUGUGGCCUUGUCGUAAAGGCUUGUCCCAGCUCAGGACGGCUCCUUGUCCUCCCAUCUAGCCACGCUCACAGCUGUUUGGGACCCGCACUUGGGGGAGUUUGGCACUGAGGGCCCUGACACAGCAGUGUCACACCCAGCACCUGUUGCCCCGCCCACCCUCCAGGCCUGUGUCGCCAAGGUCCCUGCUGGGGUUCUGGUUUUUACUUUUUUAAUGUAAGUCUGAGUCUUUGUAAUUAUUGAAUCGUGAGAACAUUUUUGAACAAUUUACCUGUCAAUAAAGCAGAAGGUGGCAGUUUUAAAGCUCCCCGUGCUUGGGGUAAGGUGGUGUCACCAAGUGUGCCUGAGUACCUGGGAGCAACCCAGGACAGCAGUCGCCGCAGAUGACACUGAGCACAGAGGUCAUGGAAGGGCUACGUGUCCGUGAGGCACGUCUUUGCUGGUUUCCAGGUUCCCCCAGGGGGCAUUAGUGGAGCAAGGGACAGGGUCUCAGCCUGAGGGCAGUGAGCCCGACAUCGUGGCACAAGCCUGACACAGCAGAGCGGGG